CCUUACCUGGCCUUGACAUACUAAGAACUUUCCAGAGAUGGAUUGGUGCCUUCGGGAACUUAGAUACAGGUGCUGCAUGGCUGUCGUCAGCUCGUGUCGUGAGAUGUUGGGUUAAGUCCCGCAACGAGCGCAACCCUUUUCUUAUUUGCCAGCGGGUUAAGCCGGGAACUUUAAGGAUACUGCCAGUGACAAACUGGAGGAAGGCGGGGACGACGUCAAGUCAUCAUGGCCCUUACGGCCAGGGCUACACACGUGCUACAAUGGUCGGUACAAAGGGUUGCUACCUCGCGAGAGGAUGCUAAUCUCAAAAAGCCGAUCGUAGUCCGGAUCGCAGUCUGCAACUCGACUGCGUGAAGUCGGAAUCGCUAGUAAUCGCGGAUCAGAAUGCCGCGGUGAAUACGUUCCCGGGCCUUGUACACACCGCCCGUCACACCAUGGGAGUUUGUUGCACCAGAAGUAGGUAGUCUAACCGCAAGGAGGACGCUUACCACGGUGUGGCCGAUGACUGGGGUGAAGUCGUAACAAGGUAAGCGUAGAUGA
rnacentral:rRNA from 1 species